CAGUCGCCGCGGGAAUAUGUAGGGUGCGAGCGUUAAUCGGAAUUACUGGGCGUAAAGCGUGCGCAGGCGGUUGUGUAAGACAGGUGUGAAAUCCCCGGGCUUAACCUGGGAACUGCGCUUGUGACUGCACAGCUAGAGUAUGGCAGAGGGGGGUGGAAUUCCACGUGUAGCAGUGAAAUGCGUAGAGAUGUGGAGGAACACCGAUGGCGAAGGCAGCCCCCUGGGCCAAUACUGACGCUCAUGCACGAAAGCGUGGGGAGUAAACAGGAUUAGAUACCCCAGUAGUCCUGUCUCUUAUACC
rnacentral:rRNA from 1 species